rnacentral:rRNA from 1 species
GACGAACGCUGGCGGCGUGCUUAACACAUGCAAGUCGAACGGAAAGGCCCCUUCGGGGGUGCUCGAGUGGCGAACGGGUGAGUAACACGUGGGUAACCUGCCCCCUGCUUCGGGAUAACUCCGGGAAACCGGGGCUAAUACCGGAUAUUCAUUUCGCACCGCAUGGUGUGGGGUGGAAAGUUUUUUCGGCUGGGGAUGGGCCCGCGGCCUAUCAGCUUGUUGGUGGGGUGAUGGCCUACCAAGGCUUCGACGGGUAGCCGGCCUGAGAGGGCGACCGGCCACACUGGGACUGAGACACGGCCCAGACUCCUACGGGAGGCAGCAGUGGGGAAUAUUGCGCAAUGGGCGGAAGCCUGACGCAGCGACGCCGCGUGAGGGAUGACGGCCUUCGGGUUGUAAACCUCUUUCAGCAGGGACGAAUGUAGACGGUACCUGUAGAAGAAGCACCGGCCAACUACGUGCCAGCCGCCGCCGUAACAC